rnacentral:rRNA from 1 species
UCAAGCGAAUAAGCGCACACGGUGGAUGCCUUGGCGGUCAGAGGCGAUGAAGGACGUGGCAGCCUGCGAAAAGUGUCGGGGAGCUGGCAACAAGCUUUGAUCCGGCAAUGUCCGAAUGGGGAAACCCACUGCUUCGGCAGUAUCCUGCAGUGAAUUCAUAGCUGCAGGAAGCGAACCCGGUGAACUGAAAUAUCUAAGUAACCGGAGGAAAAGAAAUCAACCGAGAUUCCCUAAGUAGUGACGAGCGAACGGGGACUAGCCCUUAAGCUGGUAUGGUUUUAGAAAAACAACCUGGAAAGGUUGGCCAUAGAAGGUGAUAGCCCUGUAUUUAAAAGGGCCAUACCAGUGAAGACGAGUAGGGCGGGGCACGUGAAACCCUGUCUGAAUAUGGGGGGACCAUCCUCCAAGGCUAAAUACUCCUGACCGACCGAUAGUGAACCAGUACCGUGAGGGAAAGGCGAAAAGAACCCCGGAGAGGGGAGUGAAAUAGAUCCUGAAACCGUGUGCGUACAAGCAGUAGGAGCUCGUAAGAGUGACUGCGUACCUUUUGUAUAAUGGGUCAGCGACUUACUGUUCGUGGCAAGCUUAACCGUAUAGGGGAGGCGAAGGGAAACCGAGUCUGAUAAGGGCGCAUAGUCGCGGGCAGUAGACCCGAAACCGGGUGAUCUAGUCAUGCCCAGGGUGAAGGUCAGGUAACACUGACUGGAGGCCCGAACCCACUCCCGUUGCAAAGGUAGGGGAUGAGGUGUGAUUAGGAGUGAAAAGCUAAUCGAACCCGGAGAUAGCUGGUUCUCCUCGAAAGCUAUUUAGGUAGCGCCUCAUAUGUAUCCUCUCGGGGGUAGAGCACUGUAUAAUGGGUCAGCGACUUACUGUUCGUGGCAAGCUUAACCGUAUAGGGGAGGCGAAGGGAAACCGAGUCUGAUAAGGGCGCAUAGUCGCGGGCAGUAGACCCGAAACCGGGUGAUCUAGUCAUGCCCAGGGUGAAGGUCAGGUAACACUGACUGGAGGCCCGAACCCACUCCCGUUGCAAAGGUAGGGGAUGAGGUGUGAUUAGGAGUGAAAAGCUAAUCGAACCCGGAGAUAGCUGGUUCUCCUCGAAAGCUAUUUAGGUAGCGCCUCAUAUGUAUCCUCUCGGGGGUAGAGCACUGUUAUGGCUAGGGGGUCAUCGCGACUUACCAAACCAUUGCAAACUCCGAAUACCGAGACGGACUGUAUGGGAGACACACGGCGGGUGCUAACGUCCGUCGUGAAAAGGGAAACAACCCAGACCCACAGCUAAGGUCCCAAAUUCACUGCUAAGUGGAAAACGAUGUGGAAAGGCAUAGACAGCCAGGAGGUUGGCUUAGAAGCAGCCACCCUUUAAAGAAAGCGUAAUAGCUCACUGGUCGAGUCGGUCUGCGCGGAAGAUUUAACGGGGCUAAGCAGUGAACCGAAGCUUGGGGUGCAUCGCGAUAAGCGAUGCGCGGUAGAGGAGCGUUCCGUAAGCCUGCGAAGGUGGAUUGAGAAGUCCGCUGGAGGUAUCGGAAGUGCGAAUGCUGACAUGAGUAACGAUAAUGCGGGUGAAAAACCCGCACGCCGAAAGCCCAAGGUUUCCUUGCGCAACGUUAAUCGGCGCAGGGUGAGUCGGCCCCUAAGGCGAGGGCGAAAGCCGUAGUCGAUGGGAAGCAGGUUAAUAUUCCUGCACCUCGCGUAAGUGCGAUGGAGGGACGGAGAAGGUUAGGUGUACCGGGCGUUGGUUGUCCCGGGGAAAGGCGGUAGGUUUGGAUCCUUGGCAAAUCCGGGGUCCUUUAAGACCGAGCACCGAGACGAGUCUUUGAGACGAAGUCACUGAUACCACGCUUCCAGGAAAAGCUCCUAAGCUUCAGCUUACGCAGACCGUACCGUAAACCGACACAGGUGGGUAGGAUGAGAAUUCUCAGGCGCUUGAGAGAACUCGGGUGAAGGAACUAGGCAACAUGGCACCGUAACUUCGGGAGAAGGUGCACCCUUUUUGGUGGCUCGUGCGAGCUAUAGCUGAAGAGGGUCGCAGAAACCAGGCCGCUGCGACUGUUUAUCAAAAACACAGCACUCUGCAAACACGAAAGUGGACGUAUAGGGUGUGACGCCUGCCCGGUGCUGGAAGGUUAAUUGAUGGGGUUAGCCGCAAGGCGAAGCUCUUGAUCGAAGCCCCAGUAAACGGCGGCCGUAACUAUAACGGUCCUAAGGUAGCGAAAUUCCUUGUCGGGUAAGUUCCGACCUGCACGAAUGGCGUAACGACAGCGGCGCUGUCUCCACCCGAGACUCAGUGAAAUUGAAAUCGCUGUGAAGAUGCAGCGUUCCCGUGGCAAGACGGAAAGACCCCGUGAACCUUUACUAUAGCUUUACACUGAACGUUGAGUUCGUCUGUGUAGGAUAGGUGGGAGGCUAUGAAACCAUGGCGCUAGCUGUGGUGGAGCCAUCCUUGAAAUACCACCCUGUCGUGCUUGACGUUCUAACCUAGGUCCGUAAUCCGGAUCGGGGACCGUGUAUGGUGGGUAGUUUGACUGGGGCGGUCUCCUCCUAAAGAGUAACGGAGGAGCACGAAGGUACGCUCAGCGCGGUCGGACAUCGCGCACUGUGUGCAAAGGCAUAAGCGUGCUUGACUGCAAGAUCGACGGAUCAAGCAGGUACGAAAGUAGGUCUUAGUGAUCCGGUGGUUCUGUAUGGAAGGGCCAUCGCUCAACGGAUAAAAGGUACUCCGGGGAUAACAGGCUGAUACCGCCCAAGAGUUCAUAUCGACGGCGGUGUUUGGCACCUCGAUGUCGGCUCAUCACAUCCUGGGGCUGUAGUCGGUCCCAAGGGUAUGGCUGUUCGCCAUUUAAAGUGGUACGCGAGCUGGGUUCAGAACGUCGUGAGACAGUUCGGUCCCUAUCUGCCAUGGGCGUUGGAGAUUUGAGAGGGGCUGCUCCUAGUACGAGAGGACCGGAGUGGACGAACCUCUGGUGUUCCGGUUGUCACGCCAGUGGCAUUGCCGGGUAGCUAUGUUCGGAAGCGAUAACCGCUGAAAGCAUCUAAGCGGGAAGCGCGCCUCAAGAUGAGAUCUCCCGGGACACAAGUCCCCUAAAGGAACCAUGUAGACUACGUGGUUGAUAGGUCAGGUGUGUAAGUGCAGCAAUGCAUUGAGCUAACUGAUACUAAUGAUCCGUGCGGCUUGACCAU